rnacentral:rRNA from 1 species
GUGCCAGCAGCCGCGGUAAUACGGGGGGAGCAAGCGUUGUUCGGAAUUACUGGGCGUAAAGGGCGUGUAGGCGGCCUUGUAAGUCGGGGGUGAAAUCCACUGGCUCAACCAGUGACGUGCCUUCGAAACUGCUUGGCUUGAGUAUGGCAGAGGAGAGCGGAAUUCCAGGUGUAGCGGUGAAAUGCGUAGAUAUCUGGAAGAACACCGGUGGCGUAGGCGGCUCUCUGGGCCAAUACUGACGCUGAGGCGCGAAAGCCAGGGGAGCAAACGGGAUUAGAAACCCCCGUAGUCC